GCAUCUAGGACCCCGUCUGACCAUUUGAUGCUCUGACAGAUCGAGCGAAGCCCACGAAUAAGCUAUCUCGAAUUGGUCUCAAAAAAUACUUUGAAACAAUCUUCUGCAAACUCCCCCAUCAGAAUUGAGUUACAAAGAACGUUAGCAAUCAUAUAAGGCUUAGAAAGAAAAGAGCAUUUUAUUUACAAAGACAUGUUUGCUUGUACAAAGGCGACG
rnacentral:lncRNA from 1 species